GGGAAUUUAGCUCAACUGCUUGCAGCAGGCAGGGUUCAGAGCACUCCGUCAACGACGGGGGUGGUCACUGGUUCGAACCCAGUAGUUCCCACCA
rnacentral:tRNA from 1 species